rnacentral:rRNA from 1 species
CCUACGGGUGGCAGCAGUGGGGAAUAUUGGACAAUGGGCGAAAGCCUGAUCCAGCCAUGCCGCGUGUGUGAAGAAGGCCUUCGGGUUGUAAAGCACUUUCAGUGGGGAAGAAAGCCUUGGGGCUAAUACCCUCGAGGAAGGACAUCACCCACAGAAGAAGCACCGGCUAACUCCGUGCCAGCAGCCGCGGUAAUACGGAGGGUGCGAGCGUUAAUCGGAAUUACUGGGCGUAAAGCGCGCGUAGGCGGUCUGAUAAGCCGGUUGUGAAAGCCCCGGGCUCAACCUGGGAACGGCAUCCGGAACUGUCAGGCUAGAGUGCAGGAGAGGAAGGUAGAAUUCCCGGUGUAGCGGUGAAAUGCGUAGAGAUCGGGAGGAAUACCAGUGGCGAAGGCGGCCUUCUGGACUGACACUGACGCUGAGGUGCGAAAGCGUGGGUAGCAAACAGGGUUAGAUACCCUAGUAGUC